rnacentral:tRNA from 1 species
UCCUUUGUAAUCUAGUUGGUUAAGAUACUUGGUUUUUACCCGAGAGACCGGGGUUCAAUUCCUGGCAAUAGAA